ACAGGGCGCAGCCCCGGGGCGGAGCUGGCGACCGCGGCGGCGGCGGUGGCGUCCGAGAGGAGGCACCGGCGCCGCAGCAGAGAGUCGCUGCUGGCGGGGGGCAGCGAGGCGCGGGCGGCCGAGCGGUGCGGCGCGAUGCGGCGGUGCCGGGGCGCAGGACUGGCGGCGCUGGCCAUGAUGGUCCUGGUGGCUGUGGGCAGGGCCCAGGUGCAGCAGGAGCCGUCGGCAGAGGCCACCGAGGGCACUGGCAUUAACAUCACCUGCUCACACCCCAGCAUACAGACCGGCGACUUCAUCCACUGGUACUGGCAGCUCCCAGGACGAGGUCCCGCGUUCAUCACGAGUGCUCACAAAGGGUCCAAAGAGGUGCAGGACCCGCCGGGGACCCUGUUCGUGGCCGAAGACCGCCGCUCCAGCGUCCUGCAUCUCGCCCGGCCCCGCUGGCGGGACGCGGCGGUGUAUUACUGCGCCGUGGGAGACCCGGCGGCACAGGCUGGGGCUGCGGCCGGGCACGAACUGCCGCGGGCGGGGCGGGGUGGGGCGGUGGCGGGGGCUGGGGAUGCGCCUCGCGCUGGCCCACUGGGGGCGCUGCCGCUCCGCCUGUCGCGGCCGCCUCUCCCCGCACCGCGCUGCGCCGGGCCUGCCCGUCGGCGGGUGCCGCUUCGGCGGGUGCUGCUGCGCCGGAGCCUCGGCGGCGGGACGGCCCCCCGAAAUGGUUCCCAAGCUGCCGAGUGGGCCAGCAGCUCCUCCCACCCCUCGCCCCCUCCCCCGCCCCACUGCUGCCCCCGCUCCUCUAAACCGCAACGAGGACAGACAUUCCCUGUGCAGCGGUGGGUCAGCGACCUGAGUGCUGGUGGUGCUAGUGGUGCCCGGAGAAGGGGCAGUUGCAGUGUAGAGAGGCAUCGUUUAUAAGAGAGAGGGUUAUAGUGGGGUGUCCUCUUCCUACUGGAUUCCGGGAGUGUGUUCUACCGGAUUCAGGGUGUGUGCCUGUCCCUGCAUGGGUGAUUGCUGCAGCAAGUGCUCUUUUCGAAGGUGUCUUUCCUGGGGAGCCCCCUCUGUGGCCGAGAGAGAAGGAAGAAAAAAACGCUGUGGUGUGGGUACGGAGUGUCAGACACCUGGAGAGAGGCACUUUUACUUGUGCAUGGUUCUAUCUCCAUCCAGACUGUCCCUGGGACAGGGUGGACGUGGGUGCAUGCCUGGGUUCCUUUUCCAUCCUUUCCAGAAUUGGCUGGAGGUCCUUCUGUCUGCCUGGGUGCUGGAUGGCAGGAGGAGAUCAUCAGGGCUGUUUGUCCCUUGCUGCAGGAUGGUUGGGCAGGUAGCGAUCUUCAGGAGGGCCAAAAUAGAAGGAAGGUGCCAGUAGCCUCCUUUGUGUCCCUUUUGCUUGACCUCAGCCUGCCUUAACUGUCCAUUAGGUUCCUAGAGCCCCUUGGGCAAUGCAGCCUGGGCUUCAGAGGAAGCAAAUGCCGCCCACCCAUGGCUUGACUGUGCAAGUACAAAACUUCCCAAGCUGAACAAAACCCAUGGCCCUGGAUUUGAGGAGCCUGGAUCCCAGCAAGGAUCCCUGCAGUUUGUCUGCUUUGCUGAGUGCUCUCAGCACUAGCCCACCAUCUGUCUAGAGAGACUUCUGGCAGUAGAGGUGUGGGUCUCAAGGAGGUCUGUCUGAAGCAGCAGUGUGGGAGCUUUGCUCCACCUUCUGUGCUGAGGUUUGGAGGCUGCUUUGAGGUGGCAGAGGGAGGAGAAGGCAGGCACCUGCAAGCUUCAGCUUGCUCAUUCUGGAAGGCCCCUGGUCAGCCCGUGAAGAGGAGAGCUUGACAUGGCCCUGAUUUUCCUGGCAGCCGUGGCAGGACUGGCAGACUUUGGUGAGACAUGACUUGCAGGCUGAGGAGGAACAGGGCAAGAGUUUGUGCUGUCAGUGGUGGAGGGGAGAGCUGUGAGUCCUGACCCUGCAGGUAACUGGCAGUGUUUCUGUAGGGAGGCAGGGGCUGCAGAUGGGGCAUCACAUAUAACCUGAGGUCUGUCGCGUGUCAUGGGCAUCAAAGGAGGAAUAGAUGAAACCUUAAUUUUGCAGAAACUAACAUUCUUGCAUACACUGCUGAUAGAGAGAGAUGCUAGCUAAGAGCCGAGUACUGCAUAUAGGGCCUUUUCUCCGAGACAUAUUGGGUAAAAUGCUGCAAAUCUGUGUGGGGUUGGAUGUAAUGCUUGAAGGACAUAGAGAGAAGGCUAACUCAAGGCAAGAGCUCAAAUGCUGUACAAGGACAGGUCAAGGGCAGAUUAUGUGGUGUGUAGUUUGGCGAGAAGGUUACAGUAAGAAGUUACCAUCAGAGGUAGGGGAGGAAUAGUGCAUGUGUUGUCUUGCUGAAGGAGAGACCAACAGUUACUAUAGCUCAGGGACUGAUAGGAAAACAACUGAUGGACUCCAAGCCCAUGACCCCCCCUCACAGCUGAGGUGUGAGGAGUGACAAGAACCUGCAAGCUGAAGCAUGCAUGGAGAAACAGCUCAGCAUUUUGCACCAUAGGAGAAGUUAGAUGGAGAAUGGGCGUAGCAAGAGGGCUGAUGAAGUGGUCAAUAGAUGGAUACAUAGAUGAACAAAGUUAAAACGCUUUCCUGGCUUUACAGGUCACGCACAAAAGGAUGCUGUGCUCUAGUUCCCACCAGAAACGACCAUCCAGGCAGGAUACAGUGCAACUUUGCAGUGCAAUUUCUCCACCAGUGACCCUUAUGCCUACAUUUUCUGGUACCGGCAGUUCCUGACCCGGUCGCCUGAGAUGCUGCUGUGUGUGGACAGAUCCAGACCUUGUGUGGAUUCAGGGAGGUUCUGCUGUGUGCUGUGUGCUGAGAGCUCCCAGGUGCUUCUCCCAGGUGCAGGAUGCUGAGCUCCAGGACAAUGCUGUCUAUCUCUGUGCUCUAAGCCCACACCAGUGCGUACAUCAUGCAGCAUUGCACAGAAAGGCUUGUGGUCUGCUUUGGGGAGGUCACCCCAUUUCUGGGAACUAGUUUGUCCCUCUGCAUGUAGUGCUUUUUGCAUGCCAGGUCUGACUGGUGGAGCAAAGAGCUGGCCCUGGAGAGCAGGUGUGACUGCUGCUGGCAAAUCAGCCAUGGUGGCUGCAGAGAAGCAUUAGGUGGUGUUUCCUCCCUGAGGGAGGAAAUGUGCUGGUGUUUGCUCCUAGUGCAGGGCACUGCUCCUUGUCCCCGGCAUGGGGGAGACAGCUGGGGAGCCACCUUCACUUUCAAGCUCUGCUUCUCCUGGUAUUGGAGCCCAGUUCCUCUGUGGGGCUGCAGUUUACCCCCCCUGCCCAGGAUACACCCAGACUCCCAGGGCUAGGUCAGAGCAGGGCUCCCCACUCAGCCUGCUAGAGAUUUUGUGGAGAGAUGAUAUUCCCAGGCACUGGAGGAAGGAAGAGGGAGAAGUGGUAGCAGUAGCGGGGACACCUGUGCAUAGAGGAAAUACCACCAUCCAACGAGAAGCAGGGACUGCAGAGGAAGGUGUGAAAUCCCAGUGAGGCAAGCACGCUGCACUCACAAAAGGCCCAGCAGAGGUGCGCAGAAGAGCAGGCAUGUCUAGCUGGGGAGGCAAAGACACUGGUGGAGGAGAGAAAACCACAGCAGGGGCAUUUCAGGCAUGGUGAGAGAAAAUGUGCUUCCUUCCUUGUUCCCUUGGUGGUGUCAUUUCCAGCAGCUCCGCUCCCUCAAGGCUGGGAGGUGGUUUUUGACUCUCUCUUUCACACACAACCCCUGCGGUUGGGCUCAGCAUGCACCUUGAGUAUCUCGUCCUCGCUGCCUUCCUGUGGCAACCACUGGGUAAGCACCGACUUUUACUUGAGGCUUAGUUCCUCUUUUCUAUGGGAAACCCUAGCACCCUCUCCACCUCCCUCCCUCCCCCCAUAUCUCUGCAGGGAGGUGGUCUUGCAUAAAGGGACAAUGCUGGGAAAUGUUGGCUCAUGUGUGCUUUCACAUGAAUAGUCUCAGGACACUGUUACUGUUGGAAAAGAAAGGGGAAGACGGAGAGAGGAGAAACCUGCCCUGCUCCCUGUGAACCACCGUCUCCCCAUUUCCUUCCCGCAGCCAUCCAUCUCUGUCUGCUUCUCUCUUCUGACCCACCUGGGACCAAUGUUUCACAAAUGUCCUGUUGUGGGAGCUCUUAGUUGUCCUGCAGUCCCCACUUUCUGUCUUUGCAAUGCCAAAAAGGUGACCUUAUGAAGACUGCUACAGGGCCUGGCAUGACAUUAUUAGCUUGUCCCAGUCUGUCUGCCAGCUGGCACAGCCCUGACCACGCAUUUCCUCCUGCAUGUCAUUGCUGCUGGGGCUUCCUUUUCCCUCCUUUGAGCCUUGGUUUCCAUGCACUCAGGGACACAGGAACCAUCGGAGAUGACAGGGUUUUGGAAGGAGGAUGUAACUUUCUCCCAGCAGCUCCCUGGGCCCCUGCCCAGACUGAAGGUGUCCUGGUGCCAGCACGUAAGGGCCAGGCCUGACAGGAUGUUCCCUGGGACUCUGGGCAGCAGGAGAGCAGGGAGCAAGGGCACAGCAGAGCUGUGCUCCGGGGGCAUCCUGGCAGGAGGGCAUGGGAUUCUCACGGUGCGAGAGGUACACGGAGCCAAGAACUGGGUGCUCCUGUGCCAAACCACUCACCACCUUGCUGUUGCCAGCCGUGGGGCUCCUGUUGCAGAGCAAGGGAGAGGGAGCCUUCUGCCCUGAGGCUUUGGCAUCCUGUCAUGCUUUUCAUCCUGAAGGCUUUCCCCACAUGCUCACUAACUGUCACUUUCUUCCAGGUGCCAUGGGCCAGACCAGUGUCACCCAGCAAGAGGGACCAGUCCCGGUGGAGGAGAGGGUCACCUUCCACACCACCUGCACAUACCAGACCUCGAACUUUUAUGGCUUGUCUUGGUACCAGCAGAAGGAAGACCGAGCCCUGCAAGCUGGUCUCAUCUCAGGCGGCAGCUGGCCUCAAGCAGAGUGGCUGAUUCACCACAAUGCUGAACACCACUGGGUUCUGGAGGCCAAAGCCAGGAGUGAGGGAUCAUCUAAGCUCUGACUGUGGAAUACUACCUGCCAUUGGUGGCUUCUGUAGGGGCUGAAAAGCCUCUUCCUUGUGGCAGUGCUUGUAGGUCUGUGAGGGACAAAUGCUGGGAAAGCAGAGGUGAUUUCAGCCUGUGGAGAUCAGGAACAUGUCUGUGUACUCGUCA